rnacentral:rRNA from 1 species
GAUGAACGCUGGCGGCGUGCCUAAUACAUGCAAGUCGAGCGAACAGACGAGGAGCUUGCUCCUUUGACGUUAGCGGCGGACGGGUGAGUAACACGUAGGUAACCUACCUAUCAGACUGGGAUAACUUCGGGAAACCGGCGCUAAUACCGGAUAAUAUUUCGAACCGCAUGGUUCGAUAGUGAAAGAUGGCUUUGCUAUCACUUAUAGAUGGACCUGCGCCGUAUUAGCUAGUUGGUAAGGUAACGGCUUACCAAGGCAACGAUACGUAGCCGACCUGAGAGGGUGAUCGGCCACACUGGAACUGAGACACGGUCCAGACUCCUACGGGAGGCAGCAGUAGGGAAUCUUCCGCAAUGGGCGAAAGCCUGACGGAGCAACGCCGCGUGAGUGAUGAAGGUCUUCGGAUCGUAAAACUCUGUUAUUAGGGAAGAACAAACGUGUAAGUAACUGUGCACGUCUUGACGGUACCUAAUCAGAAAGCCACGGCUAACUACGUG